GCUUCUGUAGGCCCUGGGGUGAAGGACACCUCCUGUGCCUGCGGGGGCUGCUUGGUAGUCCUCAGCUGCUCGCAGCACAUCGCUCCCCGCACCGAGCGGAUUGGGGCGCGCCGUCUCUUUGCUUUGCUCACCCUGGACAGUGCAGGCUGGGGCCGGCCAGUGAGCACUACACAGCCAGGGAGGAUGAGGAGGGGAGGCAGCCCUGCCAGCAGUGUGGAUGCACAAAGCACCUAGGGCUCCGCUGCAGCCGCGCGCACUGUCUGCUGCCAGCUAACGGCUCAGGGUGAUGGGGCAUCUGACGCCCAGCCUGUUUUCUGCUGCCCUGCUGAAGCUGCUCAUUAGCAUUUCCAGAACGUCGAUGUGUGCUCGGAUAUACGGGAAGGCACUCGUAGCUGCACAGCAGCAAUAUAUCAACGUUAGAGAAGGGCCCAUUUAAGCUUAAUAUCAGAGGCCGGGUUUUUCUGGAGUCAGGUGUCUCAUCCCCAUUGAAAUUCAACGGGAGUUGGAGUCUCUGCUCCCAGGGCUUCUUUGAAAGUCCCAGACUUAAUUAGUAUUUAUCUUAAUUAGGGGGACGUUACCUGCUCUGGGAACCUCAUGCUAUUGGCAGCGCUCAUCCCCGCGGCGCCCUGGGAAGGCCUCCAUCUGAGGGAGGGGCUGACUGCAGUGGGGCUCAGGCUGUGUGUGGGGCCGGGGGGCAGAGCUGCGUCCUCCUGUGGGGCCGGGUGAUGCAGAGCCCUCCGGUGACACCAGAACCCCACGGUGACGCUGGAGCCCCAUGGACGGAUGCAGGGCCAGCCUUGAACACAGGGCUUUGGGGCAGGAGAAGGGAAGGGGAGGCAGGAGGUGAUGGAGCACAUUCAGGGCUGCUCCCUGAGGGACAGCGUGGGCAGAGCUGGUGCCCAUGUCUGGCCUGAGUGAGAGAAGUGGGACAGCAAGUGGCCCGGGUAGAGCAGGGCUGGGAUGGACGGUCUGCAAACCUGCCUCACAGAGGGAUGCAAUGUGGGCUUGUGGUUCUAUUGGAGAGGAGAUGCUGGGGGCUACCUGCAGCUGGGUCACAGGAGACAGACAGGUGGAGGCACACAGCCAGCCUUGGUUAUCUUAUUUGGUCCCAGUGACAGGAGACUCCACCUGUGGGGCUUCCCAAAGAUAGGAGAUGCUUCCAAGCUAGAUCACUCUGCUGUGGUGCUGAGCCCCUUAAGGAGCCCCAGCAGUGCUUGUGCGGCUCGUUGCAAAGGCAACUCAUGGGGACAUGGCAGGGACACCACCCACGAGCAGGCUGAGAGCUGCUGUCAUGCAGUGGCUGGGCAGGAGCCUUGGGGAGGAGAGACCUGGGGCCAGGACUUCGUGCAGGUGUGCUUCCUAAAGGUGAUGUUCCAGAUCUGCUUCCAGAUCGCCUGCCUGGCAGCUGGGGAAAGUGGUGGGAUGGAGAGCGGCCUCGGGUGGCUCCAUAAAGAAGGGAGGGAAUUAGUCACUGGGAGUAAGGGAGUAGUCCCAGCUUGAAACAUGUUGCAGAAACUGAUUCAUGAAGAUGCUGAUCACUCUUACCUCCCCUCUUCCAGCUGAUUUUCCAUUACCAGCAAGAGGAGGAUAGCAACAGUUUCGUAAGAGAAGGGAAACUCCCAGAAACAAAUCAAGGGUUCCUGUUGAAUAUUCAGGUAGAAAUUCCUAGGAAUGUUAACAGCUGAAAUCAGGAGCCACAUCCCCACAAACGACACUGGGAGAGGUGAAGAAAGCAUUCUCUCCAGGCACCGAUGACACAGAAAUAAAAGAGGUGGCACUGCAUUUAAUGUUACCCUUAAGCUUUUGUGUUCAGCCAGGAAACAGUGGGAGCUGGAAAGGUGGACAGACUCCAUCAGUUCAUUCUGCAUCAUGUAAAACUACCACUUAUCUUACCAGAUAUUUCAUAGAAGCCCUGCUGGUCUCAGCCUGUAGAUUUGAGGUUGUAGACAAUGUGCUGAUGUAAAGUUGUUUGAACUUACGGAAGAUCUCGAAGGCUUGGGUCCCAUGUGCUGUGAUUGGCACUGUACCAGAAGUGCUGAUUACAUGGAGCAGGGUGCUGCAAGGUGGGAGUCAGGCUGGGAUCAGCCUCAGGUGGGAGCAGCCAUCAAGCCAGGUGAUGUGGAGGUCGGGUGGGAUGUGCUGCAGCGGUGAGGAGCGGCGUGGGGCAGGGUGCUGGCUGCCUCUGCAAGCCUCGGGCCUCAGGAAUGCUUCCAGGGCCACAGGGCAUACGGAGAAAGGCUGCUUUUAACUUGUGGGGCACUUCUAGUCAGCAGUCAGUGGAGGAGGUCAUCUCCUCUCCGAGGUGGCUGGGAGAAAGGAUCCGUUCAGCUGCUUGGAGGUCCCUCUGGAGGAGCUGAAUUCCACAGGCAGGGAAGGGGGCCGAUCUCUGGCCCUGGGGAGCAGCCCCUGGAACUGUCUGGAGACCAUUUCCUCAGCUCUGAAAUUGCUCUGAGGCAGCAGAGACACCCAGGCCUGCAGUGAGGGCUGAAAGCUGGAAGAGAGCAUUGGCCACCCGGGACCAGCUCGAGUGCAGCGUGGCUGGGAGGUGUGGCUGGGACUUCCAAAACAGCUUAUGUACUCAGCAAGAACAACACUGACUCCAGAUAGACCAUCAGAGGAACUCACCCACACAGAGCAGAGAGAGCUGCCCUCCAGCUACCUGAGUACAUCGUUUCUUGGCAAUCGUAUAUUGCAGGGGAGAGCCACUGCCUUCCCUGCUGCAGGAGGCGCAAACAAAGGGUGUGCAGAGGACUGAGCACUGACACAGGCUGUCCAUAAAGGCUGUGGAGUCUUCCUGCUUGGAGAUCUUCAAAAGCUGCCUGGACAUGGUCCUGGGCACCCUGCUUGAGCAGAGUUUGGACCUCAAAAAACCCUACCAAACUCAGCCUGUGAUUCUGUGAAAAAGCAAGAGCAGAGCCUAAAAUAGCUGGCUGGAGCUCAGCAUGUGUUCUGGAAGAGCUGGAGCAAUCCAAGCUUACCUCACCUGCAAUCCUGGCUCACCAGAGCAGGUGAGGAGCUUCACUGCGUGCUGGGGGGGGGAGAAGCUCACUGAGUGCAUCACUCAGCACAGAAGGAGGAAUGGGGCAGCCUCCAGGUGCCACCUCCGGAUACCAGCAUGAAAUGGAGAUGGCUGGAGGGGCAGCAGCUCCUGGGAAGGAGGAGCAGUUCAGCAGGCAGCUGGAAAAGCUUUUGUGACAACCUGCUCUGAGCUCUCACCCUGCUGGCCCCACCUGAAUUGCUUUUCCUGGGAAAUGCCAAGCUGCAGUGUGGCAGCCCGGCACCACAGCCAGCUACUUCUGUGAUGCUACUUUUGGGGACGAGCAGGUGCUUUGGUCUUUCUGGGUUUAGCGAGCAAGCUGAAGGCUUUAGGUACACCCACCAGCAUCCUUCCUUCUGGAGCAGGUCACAAAACCAGGUUGCUCCUCUCCAUGAGUAGGUUGUGGAAUAAAUUUGUGCAUCAUCCAUCUGUAGUUGGGCUGAAUGAUCUAUCACACUAAUCCUCACUCUUUGGAGAGGCUCUUGGGCUGGGGCUGGGCCUUUGUAAGGAACCACCAGGAUGCAUGAGUGGAAGUAAACAGGAUUCCUGUGGAGCAGUCCUCCUACAUGAGACUGGCAUCUCUGGAAAGUCUUGUGUGGACAAGAUGAUGCUCUUCCUUGUUGAGUGUGGAGAGGAGUCUGGAAUAAAACCACAUUUGCUCAAUUGCUCUGCUGACUCAAAACCUGUGUGGGUCUGUCUGGGUAAUUCGGUAACGUCCCGAAUGUUGUCAGAGCUGUGCAAACUCCUUAAUGGCAACACCAGUGUGGAAGGCCCGAGUUGCUCCUGGGAGGACUCAGAAUGUUCUGGUGGAAAAACUGCCUCUACACCACAGCUGGAAUCAUGGCUCCUGUGUCAAAGCCAUCUUCCCUGAGCCAUCCUCCAGCCCUGGAUACACCACGGUGUUAGGGCCCAGCCCUGGAGCUCUGUGCAGCACAGUCACUGCCUGUCCCGCCACAGUCCUUUGGAUGACAUGGGAAGCCUGCUAGUGUUUGACCUGUGGGGGUGCUGUCCCCAUUGCAAAGCCAGGCAGGUGGCAGGGUGGGGAACUACGGAUGGGUGCUGUGAGACACGAAGUCCCACAGGACAGGUGAGCGGCAUGGCCAGGACCUUGCACUGAGUGCUGCUGGAGGUCUGCACACCCCACCUCACCAACAGCAGUCACCAGUGGGAACUGGAGGGCUAGGGCAGCUGCAGAGCCUGGGGCUUCUGUGUGCACGAUCUUGGAACAGUUCAGCUGGCAAAACUCACAUCCUUGGUAGCUCUGAGUCUCCGAACUUGGUGGAUGUUUGGAGCCAAAGGCUUGCUCCAAUUCUGGUGAAGGCAAAUGGACUUUCCUGUCUGAAUCCUCUGACCUGCAAUAACAUAGGCUGGAUAAAGCCUGACAAGGGAUGCUCUGAAAUCAAGAACUCCUGUCUAGAUCAUACCCCAAAGGCAUUUCCAGUUCCGUCUGUGGGUCAGCAUCGUGCUGUCUGUAUGUCCUUAAGGCUAACAAGCCACUGCUAAAUAGCUGUAAUCCUCUGCUGCAAGCCUGGGUCUGAGGGUGGCUUGCUGCAGCAGGAUGAUGAACAUUCCUAGCUAGAGUGUGUGUGUUUGGAGCCCACAUCAUGGCCCGCUUAAAUACACGUGAGUCUUGAGGAGUCCUGGCAAGGGAGCAAGGUCAAUCAAAUUAGGAAGACAAGGGAAUGUUCCCAAUGGCCACUGCCUCAGAGUGGGCCUGCAGGACUUGAAACAAUGAGAGAUUUUUCUCCCAUAGAACAGUAGAAAUAGGUAAUCCAGAUUAGUUUCUCAGUGCCUCCAGGAUGAAGGAUUAUUAAAAGGAAGAGCCUGCAGUACUCAGCCAGCUGUAACGGUACCUUUGCAGGCUCCUGUUCAGUCUUAUAGAGUGGGAACACGGGGAUGAUAACAAGAAUCUCCAGAGGCCAGAAGGGCCGUCUGUGAGUGCACUGCACUGCUUCUCUCUUGCUCUGAAUGUCAUGACCAAAGUGCCAGGUUUGCUGGUGUUUUGGUGUAAGCCUGUGUCCAUCGAUAAAUUCAUACAGACGUGAGCACAGUAUUACAGUAUCAUAUACAGAUACAGUGUUUCCUCAGUCAGUGUUGUUUUCCCUCCAAAGAACUGGUCAGAAAGGGAAAUUUCUGUCUGAAGAAGUUCACCCUACCAGUUACCUGGAUAUUACAUCCAUGUGAACUUCCUCUGAGACAACAUCAGAUCCUUUCAAACAGUGACUCCAAUGAUUAACAUUGAAAAUAACGCAGAAUUAAGAGUUGAGGUGCCAGGGGCAGCUUUCCCCUUCAGGAGGUGUUGCAGAUGAGGUUCUGACUCAUGAUUCCUUUGGGCCGAAUGAUCAAAAGGAAGGGAUGUCCAUGCAGGUCUGUGACGUUUCAAUGGGCACUGUCUGUGCACUGAACAAAGAGGGGAAGCCCUAAAUCAGGGCCGUGGUUGUGAAG